AACGUAGGAGGCAAGCGUUAUCCGGAGUUACUGGGCGUAAAGCGCGUGUAGGCGGCUCGGUAAGUGGGUCGUGAAAGCGCCCGGCUAAACUGGGCGAGGACGAUCGAGACUGCCAGGCUAGAGGGUGGUAGAGGGACAGGGAAUUCCGGGUGUAGCGGUGAAAUGUGUAGAGAUCCGGAGGAACACCAGUGGCGAAGGCGCUGUCCUGGGCCUCCUCUGACGCUGAUACGCGAAGGCGUGGGGAGCGAACGGG
rnacentral:rRNA from 1 species